CAGCCGCCGCGGUAAUACGUAGGUGGCAAGCGUUAUCCGGAAUUAUUGGGCGUAAAGCGCGCGUAGGCGGUUUUUUAAGUCUGAUGUGAAAGCCCACGGCUCAACCGUGGAGGGUCAUUGGAAACUGGAAAACUUGAGUGCAGAAGAGGAAAGUGGAAUUCCAUGUGUAGCGGUGAAAUGCGCAGAGAUAUGGAGGAACACCAGUGGCGAAGGCGACUUUCUGGUCUGUAACUGACGCUGAUGUGCAAAAGCGUGGGGAUCAAACAGGAUUAGAUACCCCAGUAGUCCCUGUCUCUUAUAC
rnacentral:rRNA from 1 species